rnacentral:rRNA from 1 species
GUGGGGAAUCUUCCGCAAUGGACGAAAGUCUGACGGAGCGACGCCGCGUGAGUGAUGAAGGCCUUCGGGUCGUAAAGCUCUGUCAUCGGGGACGAACGGCCUCAGCAGGUAAUGGCUGGGGAUUGACGGUACCCGAGAAGGAAGCCACGGCUAACUACGUGCCAGCAGCCGCGGUAAUACGUAGGUGGCAAGCGUUGUCCGGAAUUAUUGGGCGUAAAGCGCGCGCAGGUGGGAUCUUAAGUCCAUUUUGAAAGUUCGGAGCUCAACUCCGUGAUGGGAUGGAAACUGGGAUUCUUGAGUACCGGAGAGGAAAGCGGAAUUCCCCGUGUAGCGGUGAAAUGCGUAGAUAUGGGGAGGAACACCAGUGGCGAAGGCGGCUUUCUGGACUGUGUCUGACGCUGAGAUGCGAAAGCCAGGGUAGCGAACGGGAUUAGAUACCCUGGUAGUCC